rnacentral:rRNA from 1 species
CCUACGGGUGGCAGCAGUGGGGAAUUUUGGACAAUGGGCGCAAGCCUGAUCCAGCAAUGCCGCGUGCAGGAUGAGGGCCUUCGGGUUGUAAACUGCUUUUGUACGGAGCGAAAAGGCUCUCUCUAAUACAGGGGGCUCAUGACGGUACCGUAAGAAUAAGCACCGGCUAACUACGUGCCAGCAGCCGCGGUAAUACGUAGGGUGCAAGCGUUAAUCGGAAUUACUGGGCGUAAAGCGUGCGCAGGCGGUUAUGUAAGACAGAUGUGAAAUCCCCGGGCUCAACCUGGGAACUGCAUUUGUGACUGCAUAGCCAGAGUACGGCAGAGGGGGAUGGAAUUCCGCGUGUAGCAGUGAAAUGCGUAGAUGUGCGGAGGAACACCGAUGGCGAAGGCAAUCCCCUGGGCCUGUACUGACGCUCAUGCACGAAAGCGUGGGGAGCAAACAGGAUUAGAUACCCGCGUAGUC